rnacentral:tRNA from 1 species
GGGGGCAUAGCUCAGUUGGUAGAGCAUCUGCUUUGCAAGCAGAGGGUCAUCAGUUCGAAUCUGAUUGUCUCCA